rnacentral:rRNA from 1 species
UGGGGAAUAUUGCACAAUGGGCGAAAGCCUGAUGCAGCGACGCCGCGUGAGGGAUGACGGCCUUCGGGUUGUAAACCUCUUUCAGCAGGGACGAAGCGCAAGUGACGGUACCUGCAGAAGAAGCACCGGCUAGCUACGUGCCAGCAGCCGCGGUAAUACGUAGGGUGCAAGCGUUGUCCGGAAUUACUGGGCGUAAAGAGUUCGUAGGCGGUUUGUCGCGUCGUUUGUGAAAACCAGCAGCUCAACUGCUGGCUUGCAGGCGAUACGGGCAGACUUGAGUACUGCAGGGGAGACUGGAAUUCCUGGUGUAGCGGUGAAAUGCGCAGAUAUCAGGAGGAACACCGGUGGCGAAGGCGGGUCUCUGGGCAGUAACUGACGCUGAGGAACGAAAGCGUGGGUAGCGAACAGG